rnacentral:rRNA from 1 species
UUUGGUGGCGAUAGCGAAGAGGUCACACCCGUUCCCAUACCGAACACGGAAGUUAAGCUCUUCAGCGCCGAUGGUAGUUGGGGGUUUCCCCCUGUGAGAGUAGGACGCCGC